rnacentral:rRNA from 1 species
UACGUAGGCAGCGAGCGUUGUUCGGAGUUACUGGGCGUAAAGGGUGUGUAGGCGGUUGUUUAAGUUUGGUGUGAAAUCUCCCGGCUCAACUGGGAGGGUGCGCCGAAUACUGAAUGACUUGGAGUGCGGGAGAGGUGAGUGGAAUUCCUGGUGUAGCGGUGAAAUGCGUAGAUAUCAGGAGGAACACCGGUGGUGUAGACGGCUCACUGGACCGUAACUGACGCUGAGACACGAAAGCGUGGGUAGGCAAACAGG